AUUACAAGCAAUGAUCUUGCUGAGGAUUUAUAAGGCUGCUUAUUGUAUAGAAGUAAAUUGUAAUGAUUGAUCUUUACACCAGGAUAAAGUUUAAACCUGAGAAGAAGGAAGAAAAAAACAAGCAACAUGUGUGUGUUUCCUGGAGAAGCUAUUGAGACAUUUCCCACCUACAAAGAGAAAUGGACAAAAGAACAGAUAUCCACAGAAGCGGACAGCAUUUCCGAAGUCAAGCUACCAGGGAAGGUCACUUUGGUCCCCCCAGAUGCAGAGGCAUCCAGAGACAUCUGGAACUGAUUGAUGCUGAUGGUACUGGCUACUGAAGCCACCCAUGGGGAAGGACAAUUGGAACCAGCUCCAGAAAGCCCCAGCAUGCUCCUGUCAUCAAGAUUCUCCCAGAAAUUUUUCCAUGACUACUCAUGAAAAUCACUGGAUGGAGGAUAACUGGAGUGGGGAGACUUGAAGCUGGGAGAACAAUCACAGGCCAUAGCACCAGGCCAGGGUGCUGUCUUCCGGAAGCUCCUUUUGUCUAUCCUCAUUCGGGGUCUUUGGGCAUGCCGUGAAGCAAUAGACCCCCUUUUAUUGGGAAUUGCUAAUACCUUACCAAUAAAUUGGAC